UGGCUUAGUUGGUUAAAGCGCCGGUCUAGCGAAUACGGAGUCGUGGGUUCAAAUCCCAC
rnacentral:tRNA from 1 species